GGCGCAUUGGUGAAGUUGGCUUAACACAACGCCCUUUCAAGGCGGGAUACAUCGGUUCGAAUCCGAUAUGCGUCACCA
rnacentral:tRNA from 1 species